CCGCCCCCCGGCAACGGCCCGAGCCUGUGUUUGCUCCGCUCGGGGGGGGGCUCGGUUUGGGUGUUUUCUCUCCCCCCCCCCCUCCCGCGCCGGGAGCUCCAGGCGGCUCCCGUACGGCUCCCGGGGCCUUCACCCCUCGGGGGGCUCGGCCCGCCCCUUUCGCGGGGCGCUGUGGGAAGGGCGGGGGCGGGGCCCGGGGGUCGAAGAGCCCCAGCCGGGGCUCGGGCAGCUCUCGCUGCCCCCGGGCUCCUCUGGCGCCGGGGCUCCCGUGUUCCCUCGGGCGGUCGCAGCUCUGGGGCUGUCUCAGCCCCCCGGGCAGGCGUGCUCUGGCGUUUAGAGAAGCGGAGGCGUUGCCUGAGCAGCGGAUCCGCCGCUCGAGGGCGAGGAGCUGGGCCGACAACGGGCCGCUGCAGACUCUGGUCAGGGUACGAGGCUGCUCCCUGGGGAGCCGGCGCAGGGGGCGCGGAGGGCAACUUCUGUUCCCGAGGUGGUGCCUACAGUACAGCUAUCUCUUCGAAGACAGUUUGGUUUAGGUCAGAGAAUGUUUAGCCUGGACUGAAUCAGCCUCUGUUUCUAUUUCUGGAAAUCGUCGGUCCUGUGCAUCAAGCCCGGAAAAAAGGAAAUAUGAACCAAAGGACCUGGGGCCUGCAGGGCUAGGAAAAUAUUUGAGAAGAGGUUCAGUGGGGAAAUGACUGUUUGUCUGUGGGGCGUCCAGGCAAGCAACCCAGCUGCUAGAAAGCGGCGCUGUCCCCAGGGUGGCCUCGGCGGUCCCGUCGGAGUCGGGGGAACAAGGACAAGGCAGGGGGAAGCAUCUGGCCUGCCAUGUGGACCGUGACUGUACAAAGCACGUGUGAUGCACUGCAAGUUUACCUGUUUAAACUGUGAGUUAAAGAAGGUGUGCAGUUGCUUUGUAAACAGCCGACGCUCUAAAGCUACACCCAUCUAAUUGCUAGCUGUAUUAAAUCUAUCGUAUUGCUGUUUCUGCAUUAAAAAAGAAAAAAACCAACACACCUAUGUAAGCACGUCUAAGUACAA